GAGAGAUCGUGCUUCUCCAGCCAAUGGAGCUGUCCACACAGGUGCUGCAUGGCUGUCGUCAGCUCGUGUCGUGAGAUGUUGGGUUAAGUCCCGCAACGAGCGCAACCCUCGUUUCUAGUUGCCAUCAUUUAGUUGGGCACUCUAGAGAGACUGCCGCGAAUAACGCGGAGGAAGGUGGGGACGACGUCAAGUCAUCAUGGCCCUUACGUCUUGGGCUACACACGUGCUACAAUGGAUGUUACAAAGGGUCGCAAGAGCGCAAGCUGGAGCCAAUCCCCAAAAGCAUCCUCAGUUCAGAUUGAGGUCUGCAACUCGACCUCAUGAAGGUGGAAUCGCUAGUAAUCGCGGAUCAGAACGCCGCGGUGAAUACGUUCCCGGGCCUUGUACACACCGCCCGUCAAGCCACGAAAGGAGAGAGCGCUCUAAGUCGCUAAGAUAACCCGCAAGGGAGUCCAGCGCCUAAAGCGAGAUCUCUAAUUGGGGCU
rnacentral:rRNA from 1 species